rnacentral:lncRNA from 1 species
CAGGUGCUGACCACAGAGCAACAUCCCUAAACCUUUGCUUUACCUUUUCAAAAGAGUACUUUAGAACCCCAGAGGAAGAAAUGGAGUCAAACACACCAGUUGGUCCAUUUAGCUGACUGUUUUGUUGAACUAAGGCAGUAGAAAUGGAACCAGUUGGAGACAUAUGGAAACUGGGUAAAUACCCAUAUCUAAUGGCUGGCAUGGGAAAACUUGGUAAGAAAUUUGCUUGGGAACUAGAGAAGCCCUUUAAGAGAUUUUGGCUGGAUAGGUUCAAUGUCCAAGUGAGUAUGUGAAGGAGCCAUUUGGAUGUGUGGUCUAGAACCAGGGGAGAAAUGAGCUUGAAAUGAGUGUUGGUAAUUAUAAACAUGCAGACAGCAUUAUAAUCUAUGGGAGAUGGACAUUCAUUCAUACCAAGAGAUACCAGAGGGGAGAGAAACAGUCCAUAGAGAUUCUCCUAACUAGAUGCCAAAGAUAAAAGGAAUGGCAAAAGAAACGUGAUAGAAGGAACACCUAAAUCCAUUCUGGCCUGAAAGCCAAGAGAAAAAAAAAAACCAACAAAAAAAAAAAACCGCU